UAGAUAGUAGUACAAACUAGGUAGUACGCAAGGUUUUGGGUCUUGUAGUCUGGGAUCGUGGCCCGGGUGUCUAG
rnacentral:tRNA from 1 species